rnacentral:rRNA from 1 species
CGGGUGAGUAACACGUAUGCAACCUGCCUGCCACAGCCGGAUAAUCGGGAGAAAUUCCGUCUAAUACGGCAUAAUGCAUCGACGGGACAUCCUGUCGGUGCCAAAGGUUAAUUCCGGUGGCGGAUGGGCAUGCGUCGCAUUAGUUAGUUGGCGGUGUAACGGACCACCAAGACGACGAUGCGUAGGGGUUCUGAGAGGAAGGUCCCCCACACUGGUACUGAGACACGGACCAGACUCCUACGGGAGGCAGCAG